rnacentral:rRNA from 1 species
AGAGUUUGAUCAUGGCUCAGAUUGAACGCUGGCGGCAGGCUUAAGACAUGCAAGUCGAGCGGAAACGAUGGAGCUUGCUCCAGGCGUCGAGCGGCGGACGGGUGAGUAACGCGUAGGAAUCUGCCCAGUAGUGGGGGACAGCUCGAGGAAACUCGAAUUAAUACCGCAUACGCCCUACGGGGGAAAGCAGGGGAUUUUCGGACCUUGCGCUAUUGGAGGAGCCUGCGUUGGAUUAGCUUGUUGGUGGGGUAAUGGCCCACCAAGGCGACGAUCCAUAGCUGGUCUGAGAGGAUGAUCAGCCACACCGGAACUGAGACACGGUCCGGACUCCUACGGGAGGCAGCAGUCGGGAAUAUUGGACAAUGGGGGCAACCCUGAUCCAGCCAUGCCGCGUGUGUGAAGAAGGCCCUAGGGUUGUAAAGCACUUUAAGUAGUGAAGAAGGCUGUAAGGUUAAUAACCUUGCGGAUUGACAUUAGCUACAGAAUAAGCACCGGCUAACUCCGUGCCAGCAGCCGCGGUAAUACGGAGGGUGCAAGCGUUAAUCGGAAUUACUGGGCGUAAAGCGCGCGUAGGUGGUUUGGUAAGUCAGAUGUGAAAGCCCAGGGCUUAACCUUGGAACUGCACCUGAUACUGCCAGGCUAGAGUACGGUAGAGGGAGGUAGAAUUCCACGUGUAGCGGUGAAAUGCGUAGAGAUGUGGAGGAAUACCAGUGGCGAAGGCGGCCUCCUGGACUGAUACUGACACUGAGGCGCGAAAGCGUGGUUAGCAAACAGGAUUAGAUACCCUGGUAGUCCACGCUGUAAACGAUGUCAACUAGCCGUUGGGAACCUUAGUGUUCUUAGUGGCGCAGCUAACGCGCUAAGUUGACCGCCUGGGGAGUACGGUCGCAAGAUUAAAACUCAAAUGAAUUGACGGGGGCCCGCACAAGCGGUGGAGCAUGUGGUUUAAUUCGACGCAACGCGAAGAACCUUACCUGGUCUUGACAUCCUCAGAACUUUCCAGAGAUGGAUUGGUGCCUUCGGGAACUGAGUGACAGGUGCUGCAUGGCUGUCGUCAGCUCGUGUCGUGAGAUGUUGGGUUAAGUCCCGUAACGAGCGCAACCCUUGUCCUUAUUUGCCAUCAUUUAGUUGGGCACUCUAGGGAGACUGCCGGUGACAAACCGGAGGAAGGUGGGGACGACGUCAAGUCAUCAUGGCCCUUACGACCAGGGCUACACACGUGCUACAAUGGAAUGUACAAAGGGUUGCGACCUCGCGAGAGUAAGCUAAUCCCAUAAAACAUUUCGUAGUCCGGAUCGCAGUCUGCAACUCGACUGCGUGAAGUCGGAAUCGCUAGUAAUCGCGAAUCAGAAUGUCGCGGUGAAUACGUUCCCGGGCCUUGUACACACCGCCCGUCACACCAUGGGAGUGGGUUG